rnacentral:rRNA from 1 species
UAGGGAAUCUUCCGCAAUGGACGCAAGUCUGACGGAGCAACGCCGCGUGAGUGAAGAAGGAUUUCGGUUCGUAAAACUCUGUUGUUAGAGAAGAACAGCGCAUAGAGUAACUGUUAUGCGUGUGACGGUAUCUAACCAGAAAGCCACGGCUAACUACGUGCCAGCAGCCGCGGUAAUACGUAGGUGGCAAGCGUUGUCCGGAUUUAUUGGGCGUAAAGCGAGCGCAGGCGGUCAAUUAAGUCUGAUGUGAAAGCCCCCGGCUCAACCGGGGAGGGUCAUUGGAAACUGGUUGACUUGAGUGCAGAAGAGGAGAGUGGAAUUCCAUGUGUAGAGGUGAAAUGCGUAGAUAUAUGGAGGAACACCAGUGGCGAAGGCGACUCUCUGGUCUGUAACUGACGCUGAGGUUGGAAAGCGUGGGUAGCAAACAGG